rnacentral:rRNA from 1 species
UACGUAGGGUGCGAGCGUUAAUCGGAAUUACUGGGCGUAAAGCGUGCGCAGGCGGUUUUAUAAGCCAGAUGGGAAAGCCCCGGGCUCAACCUGGGAAUGGCAUUUGGGACUGUAAGGCUGGAGUAUGGCAGAGGAGACUAGAAUUCCUGGUGUAGCAGUGAAAUGCGUAGAUAUCAGGAGGAAUACCGAUGGCGAAGGCAGGUCUCUGGGCCAAUACUGACGCUCAUGCACGAAAGCGUGGGGAGCAAACAGG